rnacentral:rRNA from 2 species
AUACCAGCUGGCUGCAACUGUUUAUUAAAAACACAGCACUGUGCAAACACGAAAGUGGACGUAUACGGUGUGACGCCUGCCCGGUGCCGGAAGGUUAAUUGAUGGGGUUAUCCGUAAGGAGAAGCUCUUGAUCGAAGCCCCGGUAAACGGCGGCCGUAACUAUAACGGUCCUAAGGUAGCGAAAUUCCUUGUCGGGUAAGUUCCGACCUGCACGAAUGGCGUAAUGAUGGCCAGGCUGUCUCCACCCGAGACUCAGUGAAAUUGAACUCGCUGUGAAGAUGCAGUGUACCCGCGGCAAGACGGAAAGACCCCGUGAACCUUUACUAUAGCUUGACACUGAACAUUGAGCCUUGAUGUGUAGGAUAGGUGGGAGGCUUUGAAGCGUGGACGCCAGUCUGCGUGGAGCCAACCUUGAAAUACCACCCUUUAAUGUUUGAUGUUCUAACGUUGGCCCCUUACCGGGGUUGCGGACAGUGUCUGGUGGGUAGUUUGACUGGGGCGGUCUCCUCCCAAAGCGUAACGGAGGAGCACGAAGGUUAGCUAAUCCUGGUCGGACAUCAGGAGGUUAGUGCAAUGGCAUAAGCUAGCUUGACUGCGAGCGUGACGGCGCGAGCAGGUGCGAAAGCAGGUCAUAGUGAUCCGGUGGUUCUGAAUGGAAGGGCCAUCGCUCAACGGAUAAAAGGUACUCCGGGGAUAACAGGCUGAUACCGCCCAAGAGUUCAUAUCGACGGCGGUGUUUGGCACCUCGAUGUCGGCUCAUCACAUCCUGGGGCUGAAGUAGGUCCCAAGGGUAUGGCUGUUCGCCAUUUAAAGUGGUACGCGAGCUGGGUUUAGAACGUCGUGAGACAGUUCGGUCCCUAUCUGCCGUGGGCGCUGGAGAAUUGAGGGGGGCUGCUCCUAGUACGAGAGGACCGGAGUGGACGCAUCACUGGUGUUCGGGUUGUCAUGCCAAUGGCACUGCCCGGUAGCUAAAUGCGGAAGAGAUAAGUGCUGAAAGCAUCUAAGCACGAAACUUGCCCCGAGAUGAGUUCUCCCUGAGACUUUAAGUCUCCUGAAGGAACGUUAAAGACGAUGACGUUGAUAGGCCGGGUGUGUAAGCGCAGCGAUGCGUUGAGCUAACCGGUACUAAUGAACCGUGAGGCUUAACCUU